AGAGUUUGAUCAUGGCUCAGAUUGAACGCUGGCGGCAUGCCUUACACAUGCAAGUCGAACGGCAGCACGGGAGCAAUCCUGGUGGCGAGUGGCGAACGGGUGAGUAAUAUAUCGGAACGUGCCCAGUCGUGGGGGAUAACGCAGCGAAAGCUGUGCUAAUACCGCAUACGAUCUACGGAUGAAAGCGGGGGAUCGCAAGACCUCGCGCGAUUGGAGCGGCCGAUAUCAGAUUAGGUUGUUGGUGGGGUAAAAGCCCACCAAGCCGACGAUCUGUAGCUGGUCUGAGAGGACGACCAGCCACACUGGAACUGAGACACGGUCCAGACUCCUACGGGAGGCAGCAGUGGGGAAUUUUGGACAAUGGGCGCAAGCCUGAUCCAGCAAUGCCGCGUGCAGGAUGAAGGCCUUCGGGUUGUAAACUGCUUUUGUACGGAACGAAACGGUCUGCUCUAAUACAGUGGGCUAAUGACGGUACCGUAAGAAUAAGCACCGGCUAACUACGUGCCAGCAGCCGCGGUAAUACGUAGGGUGCGAGCGUUAAUCGGAAUUACUGGGCGUAAAGCGUGCGCAGGCGGUUAUAUAAGACAGAUGUGAAAUCCCCGGGCUCAACCUGGGACCUGCAUUUGUGACUGUAUAGCUAGAGUGCGGCAGAGGGGGAUGGAAUUUCUGCCGUGUAGCAGUGAAAUGCGUAGAUAUGCGGAGGAACACCGAUGGCGAAAGCAAUCCCCUGGGCCUGCACUGACGCUCAUGCACGAAAGCGUGGGGAGCAAACAGGAUUAGAUACCUGGUAGUCCACGCCCUAACGAUGUCAACUGGGUUGUUGGGUCUUCACUGACUCAGUAACGAAGCUAACGCGUGAAGUUGACUCNCUGGGGAGUACNGCCGCCAGGUUGA
rnacentral:rRNA from 1 species